CCUACGGGUGGCAGCAGUAGGGAAUCUUUCACAAUGGGCGAAAGCCUGAUGGAGCAACGCCGCGUGCGUGAUGAAGGCCUUCGGUUUGUAAACUUCUUUUAUCAGCGAAGAAUAUGAUGGUAACUUAUUAAUAAGGCUCGGCUAACUACGUGCCAGCAGCCGCGGUCAUACGUAGGAGCCGAGCAUUAUCCGGAGUGACUGGGUGUAAAGAGUUGCGUAGGUGGAAUAAUAAGUAGCUAGGAAAAUCUGGUGGAUUAACCAUUCAGACUAUUAGGUAAACUGUUAAGCUAGAGACCGUUAGGGGUAACUGGAAUUGCUAGUGUAGGAGUGAAAUGCGUAGAUAUUAGAAGGAACACCAAUAGCGUAGGCAGGUUACUGGGAUGGGUCUGACAUUAAGGCACGAAAGCGUAGGGAGCAAACGGGAUUAGAUACCCGAGUAGUC
rnacentral:rRNA from 1 species